rnacentral:tRNA from 1 species
CCCCGCGAUCGAGUACGAGUUCAACGGGCCCUCCGGGGAUCCGCUGCGCUGGUACGAGCCCAGCCGCGAAGCC